rnacentral:rRNA from 1 species
GACGAACGCUGGCGGCGUGCCUAAUACAUGCAAGUCGAACGAAGCGGCGGAUGGGUGGGUAACGCGUGGGUAACCUGCACUUAAGUCUGGGAUUCCAUUUGAAAACAGAUGCUAAUACCGGAUAAUAAAGGAUGGAGCUGCGAUGCAUUAGAUAGUUGGUAAGGUAACGGCUUACCAAGGCGAGGAUGCAUAGCCGGGUUGAGAGACUGAUCGGCCACAAGGGGACUGAGACACGGCCCAAACUCCUACGGGAGGCAGCAGUAGGGAAUCUUCCACAAUGGGCGAAAGUCUGAUGGAGCCACGCCGCGUGAGUGAAGAAGGUUUUCGGAUCGUAAAGCUCUGUUGUUGAUGAGGCGGUAAUCAACCAGAAAGGAACGGCUAACUACGUGCCAGCAGCCGCGGUAAUUC